rnacentral:lncRNA from 1 species
GUGAAGGCAGACACCUCGCUUUAAUGCUGAGAUCAUUUAUCACCUGUUAUGAAGGAGAGAGUUCAUUGGCAUCCUCCUGUGCAGGGAGACAUGUUCCGGUUCCAAAGUGUUCCAUUCUUGGCAUGGUAAGACAAAACAUCACCUGCUUUGAAGUUUGGAAUCUAUAUAAAUUUUGAUUUAUAUAGGUUACCAUCUUGUCUGACACAGAAGCAUCAUAGGAGAGACCAAGAGGAAGCAGCUUUUUCAUUGUUUUGAAGAACAACUAUAUCUCAUUUACGAGAAACAGCUAGUAAGGUAGCUUUGCCUCCAAAUAAACUGCUCCUCUCAGGAGCUGUCAGUGACUUAGGGGUAUUCCCUUGCCAUCUGUGCUACGUCCCUUAAUUUUUGGGGGUUUCUAUUCGGGCUUAGGGGCCCUCACAGGUGGUCACAGCCCAAGAAAGGAAGUAAGGAAAGAGUCUAUUCUUCCACCUCAUGUAUUCAUGGGAUGCCCUCACUGACAAGCCACCUGCCCAGCACUGAACCAGGCCAAAAGGAAGGUGCCUUCAAGGGUACUAUGAGCUCUGGCAGUUCUGGAACACUGGGUCAUUCAUAUAGGUCUGCAAAGGUGGGUGUAAGGCUGGAAGCUCUGGGGAAUCGUCGCAUACCUUUUAUUUUUAAAUCUUGGUUCGUGGGUGUUUCCAAUUCACUUCUUUUCCUGCAACAAGGACUUGUUGCCAAGUGAUACCAUGGGAACAGAAUAGCAGAAUGCUAUUUGGAGAGCCAAAAUGCCAAGAGUUAAACUAUAUUGUGCAUUAAGAAACAGUAGUGGAAGGAAACUACCUAGCAGGACACCUCUAACACGUUCAGUGAUGAGAAAACAAAGGAUAUAGUGAGAAGCAGAGGGACAACAGAAGAUGUUGUCUACUUCAGAGAAAAAGCAAAAUAAACUUUUUCUCCAAC